rnacentral:ncRNA from 1 species
GGAGCAUGUGGUUUAAUUCGAUAAUACGCGCAGAACCUUACCAACUCUUGCUAAUUUUUAUAUAAAAUAUUAUAUAAAAAACAGGCGUUGCAUGGCUGUCGUCAGCUCGUGUUGUGAAAUGUUUGGUUAAAUCCUUUAACGAGCGCAACCCCUAUUGUUAGUUGCUAAUUUAUUUAAUAAAAUGAGAAGAGUUUACGUCGUAAACAAUAGGGGUUGCGCUCGUUAAAGGAUUUAACCAAACAUUUCACAACACGAGCUGACGACAGCCAUGCAAC